AGAGCCAGCCUGCCAGCCACUGAGAAACCUUUGUAUCCCCUCUCGCAGCAACAGGUCACACCACACGCCUUUUCGAAGGAACACCUUGCCUUUAAUUUCCAGAAGUGGUAUUACACUUAACAAAUGAACAAGGGAUAACAAUUGCUGUUUCAGUCCAGACCCAAUUUCACCAAAUAAUUUCACUCAAGAGCUAUUAUUGACAAGCACCGUGGGCUCAAUGGUGUCAAGUUGUACUUGUGGUUUCAACACCCCGCAGCAACCCACGUAGCCGCUGGGCCCUGGAUUAGGACCCCCAGUCUGGCAGUGCUUAUCUGCCCGUCUGAGUGAUGGAGAGAUGAGUAUCAGUCUAUACCUCAACUGCUUCAAGCCCGCCUGGGCUUUCUCCCUGGCGCCUUUGUCUGUGUCAGGGUUGGAGCAACGAAACUGAAAGAUCUCCAGAGUUUGAAAACAGAGUGAAAGAGCAAAUUUAAUAAAUGAGAGCUCAGCCUU
rnacentral:lncRNA from 1 species